rnacentral:rRNA from 1 species
AGAUAGAAAAUAGGUGCCCGUACCGCAAACCGACACAGGUAGUCAAGAUGAGAAUUCUAAGGUGAGCGAGCGAACUCUCGUUAAGGAACUCGGCAAAAUGACCCCGUAACUUCGGGAGAAGGGGUGCUCUUUAGGGUUAACGCCCAGAAGAGCCGCAGUGAAUAGGCCCAAGCGACUGUUUAUCAAAAACACAGGUCUCUGCUAAACCGUAAGGUGAUGUAUAGGGGCUGACGCCUGCCCGGUGCUGGAAGGUUAAGAGGAGUGGUUAGCUUCUGCGAAGCUACGAAUCGAAGCCCCAGUAAACGGCGGCCGUAACUAUAACGGUCCUAAGGUAGCGAAAUUCCUUGUCGGGUAAGUUCCGACCCGCACGAAAGGCGUAACGAUUUGGGCACUGUCUCAACGAGAGACUCGGUGAAAUCAUAGUACCUGUGAAGAUGCAGGUUACCCGCGACAGGACGGAAAGACCCCG